CUGUACAAUUCAUUGUCCUGCUCCUUUGCUCUGUAAGAUAUUAGAUUUAUUUUGUGCCUGAGGAACAUUGGAGGUCAAUUAUCAGAGUGGCUGCACUGUGUCAACUACCAGUCACCUUCAUACAGUA
rnacentral:snoRNA from 1 species